UCAAGAAACUUCCACAAUGGGCGAAAGCCUGAUCCAGCCAUGCCGCGUGUGUGAAGAAGGUCUUCGGAUUGUAAAGCACUUUAAGUUGGGAGGAAGGGCCAUUACCUAAUACGUGAUGGUUUUGACGUUACCGACAGAAUAAGCACCGGCUAACUCUGUGCCAGCAGCCGCGGUAAUACAGAGGGUGCAAGCGUUAAUCGGAGUGACUGGGCGUAAAGGGCAUGUAGGCGGUUAUAUUAGUCUGAUGUAAAAGACCCGGGCUUAACCUGGGAUAUGCAUUGGAAACGGUAUAGCUAGAGUAUGGGAGAGGUGCGUGGAACUCACGGUGUAGGGGUGAAAUCCGUUGAUAUCGUGGGGAACACCAAAGGCGAAGGCAGCGCACUGGCCAAAAUCUGACGCUCACACACGAAAGCUAGGGUAGCGAAGAGGAUUAGAUACCCCCGUAGUCCCUGAGCGGGCUGGCAAGGCGCAU
rnacentral:rRNA from 1 species